CCAAGGUCUGUAAAGCAGACCUAUAACUGACCCGAUGUGCCCUUCGCCCUCAGGAUGUGCCAGAGUUUUGACCUCUGUCUGGUUUAUAUUACUCUCUGGGGCAGUUUACUCUACAAAUGAGUCACCUGCUGUCUGGACUGUAGUCUGAGUGACCACUAAAGACUGAUGGAAGCUUACAGACUGGUACCAGAGUUUCGAGGAGGCCGCUGGCCUGAUGCCAGCUAGGUGCAUGCUGGGAGUCCGUGCAGGGGAGACACUCCGACGCCACCCUGCUGAGAGCCGAUAGGAUUACUGUUUACAUUGAGCUCCAUGGGAAAUGGCUUUCAUUGAGGCUGUUUGGACUCUCAUUCUGACGGCAUCCAUUCACUGCAGAGGAACCAUUGUCACUGAUUCAGUGAAGCUGAGAAAUUUGCUGACAUCAUCAUCUGUCAACACGGCAUAGAUUUAUUCUGGAGCAGAAACUGAAUGGAAUGGGCCACACAGAGGAUGACAGACGCUGAACCCUAUCCUCUCCAGGUGACCUCAGAGUAAUGAUGCUCAACAUUGUCUGAAGGAGUAGUUGGAGAACUCAAACUGAGACGGCAAACAAAUGAAAGGUCAGCACCAGUGAGACUGUUUGUUCUGAGAGCUUGUGAGGAAGACAUACGUUUGAUUUGAACACUGGAAGAGAUCAAGUUUUGUUGUUGCCAUGUUUUUAAACAACCCAAUUAAAACUCUAAACUUCAUCUUUGCAAAUAAACAAAUGAAAGUAUAAUGUUAUUGUAACCUGUAAUUUUUUAGUAAGUCUCUUAUGUGCACUAGGGU
ensembl:lncRNA